GUGAUCAUACCAGCACUAAUGCACCGGAUCCCAUCAGAACUCCGAAGUUAAGCGUGCUUGGGCGAGAGUAGUACUAAGAUGGGUGACCUCUUGGGAAGUCCUCGUGUUGCACCCC
rnacentral:rRNA from 1 species